UAGCAUCCACGAAGUUCAGAGUCCAUGGGGAACCUUUGCUUGGAAUUAUUAGAGUCUGCUACAAUAUUAGUCUUCACAGCAAGAGCCCUAUAAACCAAGCAACAUCAAAGGCGAUGCUAACACAAAUGAUUA